rnacentral:lncRNA from 1 species
AUUUAACUUGCUUUUUUUAAUGAAUGAGAUUUCUUUUUUUUUUAACGCGAAAAUAUCUCAAUCUUUAUUUUUAAGGAUAAUUGUCAUUAAUACAGGAAGAACUGAUAUUAUAAAAAUCAGAAAACAUUAGCAUUCAAUAAACAAAAAUUAACUGAAGGCUGAUCAGGAACAUAUGCUUGGCAUUGGAAGAAGGAUGUAUGCUAAUCUUCUUAAACAAUUGCUAGAAAGUAAAAAAAAAAAAAGUUCUAACAGGGCUACAGUGUGCUGGGCAGUAACUUGUAGAUAAACAUGUUUUAGACAAUGGGUGGUAUUCAAAGCUCAGUCUAUGACAUGGUAGUUCUUCAGCCGGAAGUAAGUCGAGGUUUCCUGGUAACAGAGUUUAUUCAUGCAGACGCUGUGAGGCCACUGGCAUGAUUCAACACAAACCAUUCCCAUUUCAAGAAAGCAAGUGACAGAGCAGUGACAGCAUCAGCCUCUCAAGGAGUGCGGUCAGGAGCAGGAGGUCUGCAGUUUCUCACUUUGGAUUCCUUUACAUCUCUAAGAAUAUGGUAAGAAACAAAAAAGUACAAAAACAAAAAAGCCACAUGGAGACCUUCUCACCCUUUACUAACAUAGCAGAAGGAAAGAAACAAACAAAAGCGGGUUGUCGCUAAAGCCUUCAACACUACAAUAGACUGUGAGUCGAAAAAGAAAAGCCACAGUCCUGUUGCUUGGAGAAUGGAUCGAACUAGAGAACAUUACAGUAGGCACAGGAAAGUGGAUGCGGAAAAAUAACCAAGGACACUGUCUGUCAUUCACAGCCGCUAGGGGCAACAUUUUAAAUGGAGGGGGAACUCUCUGGGAUAAAAGGAGAACCAGGAGGAGGCGGGCGAGGGUAAGGGUGGGUGUGAUCAGAGCACAUCAUACAGGUACCUCAUACACAUUGGAGAAAAGGAAGCUCAUUACCUCAUACAAUAUACACUAAUAAAAACCAAAAUCUAUGAAUGUGAAUGCAUUUUACUAUGUCAAAUACUGAGUCAAUGCUGAUACUAAUGGUUAAUAAACUACAAAACAUUAAAAAC